rnacentral:rRNA from 1 species
UUGGAUGAAAAAUUUACUUUCUUUAUUUUAAAUAUAAAAUUUAAUUUUUAAGUUAAAAAGCUUAAAUUUUUAUAUAGGACGAGAAGACCCUAUAGAACUUUAUUUUUUAUUAAAAAUAUAUUAUUUUGAAAAUGAUUUUUAUUUUUUUAUUUGAAAUUAUAUUGGGGUGAUAAAAAAAAUUUAAUAACUUUUUUUAUUUUUUUCAUUUAUAUAUGAUAUUUUGAUCCUAUAAUAUGGAAAUAAGAUUAAGUUACCUUAGGGAUAACAGCGUUAUUACUUUGGAGAGUUCAAAUCUAUAAAGUAGUUUGCCACCUC